ensembl:lncRNA
CUCUUAACAGGACAGGGUACCAAAGUCACUGUCUUCCACAUACACAGUGCCAUUUAUGAGAUACUGCAGGUUUUUCCAGUUGACCAGGUUUCCAGGAGUGAAGGAGUGACCCUGCAUAUAAGAGCUGACGUCACACAGAUCUCCUUGUCCCAGAUCUGUCAGGUCUCCUACAAAGAACUGUUUUGCAUUGAAGCCUCCACCCACUAAAAGUACAAAGUAUGUGAAGUCAAUUCGAACCUGUAGCCUCGUUACCUUCAGUCACCGGCACUCAGCAACAACAGCAGCUCCUCCAUCGUCUCCUGCUGACCAUCGGACAGGAUUUGCUUUUGUUGGAGGAAAUUUAUGGAAACUUUAAAAAAUACUGAACUGAUUCUGACCAGCUGCAACAAGUCAAAUGACUCAGUUCACCAAGAGAUUCCCUGAUGUUGCACAAGUGUUUGUGGAUGUGUGUGGUUAGCUGUUUGUGUGUACUUGUGUUACGGUCAUAGUGACACGUUGUGGCAGCUCGACCUGCUUUUGGGAUCAAAAGUCAUCUCUGCACAACAAUCAGUAUUUUCAGGUAAGACCGAUGCUGUGCUCGUCCCCAAGUCCGAGUUAUCCCCAAACUCUGAAUCUUUUCACUUUUUGUUACAUCAGUCAUGAUGAGAGAAAGGAAAACUAUGGGAUAUGAGUCAUAUUUGAGGUGACAGUGAUCGUAGUAAAGACUCCUUUUUUACUUACUCAUCCAUGCCUUACCUCUGUAACCUCUCUCCCUCUCCUGAUUGGCUCCUGAGUGCCUGACACGCCCUCUAUUCACCUCCACAAGUAAGAGUUGAGCUGUCCAUGUGUGUCUGUCAGUAAGUAAACAACAAGUAAACAAUGAGCUGAAGUCAAACACAACACUGGAGAAUCAUUGAUGGCUGUGUGACCAGAUGAUAACAAACCUUUGAACAGUGAUCAGAAACUGAGUGUUAGCCUUCUGGUGGUUGAUAAAGUUAAGCUUGUUUCAUAAGCUAAUCAGCAUAUGUUAGCCUCCUAGUAUUAACUAGCUAAGACUUCAACCAGCUGAAUUUUACUAAAAAAGACAACAACACUAGCUGGCAGCUCAAGUUCUGAAAGAUAUUAUGGUCAAAUAUGGAUCAACUUACUCUGUGGAAAGAAAUGAUUCUGUUGUGUUUGAACUUGAGUCAAAGACCACGACCUCUACUUGAUUACAUUUAGACUAUAUUCAUGCACUCAGAUAUUAAGCCCACUAAAUAAAUAUACCUCAAACAGAAAUUAUGAAAAUUGUCUGAAUAGAAAAACCAUUUGUUAUUACUCUGUUUUAUUUACAUAACACAUUUAAAACAGAAGCUGACCCAAAGUGCUGGAGCCCGCUGAGACCCAGCCUGUUCAUUUAUGUCCUCUGUAAUGGACUUUUUGGUUGAUAUCUUUUGAGUUAUUUGAGCUACCCUACCAAGUCCUGAUGUACUGAACAGAGGCAGGAAAUCAGCCACAUUUAUAAAUGUGGGUCUCCAAAAAACCCAGUCUCUAAAUACACUGCUCAAAAAAAUGAAAGGAACAUGUUGACAAUACAUCAGAUCUCAAUGGGAAAAAAAUGAUGCUGAUGCAGACUGGCUAUGACUGAUGGAAAUAAAAAUGAUGAAUCUACAGAGAGAAUUCAAAGACAUCCUGAAAAGAAAAGUGAAAAACUGAUGAUGUGGACUAUUUUGCUGAAAUAUCCCUGGGCCCACUGAGCUCCUGGACAGUAUGAGGUGCAACCUGCUGGUGUUGGAUAGACAGCAACGUGAUGUCCCCGAGGUGUCUGUAGCCAGGCCAGUCGUUGCCUGUAGAGGUCUCCGUGGAUAUGCGCCCCCAGACCAUCACUGACCCACUACCAAACCAGUGGUGCUGACCGACGUUACAUGCAGGUUAAUGUUCUCCACAGACCCUUUUGCGUCUGUCACAUGUGGGCAGGGUGAACGUCUUCAUCUGUGAAAAACACAUCUAGCUAAAUCCAAAACUAGUGAUUAUUUAUUUAUGUCAGAAAAGAUGAGGAGGGGAAACGUGUCAGGCCUCCACCUGUUACAUCAUUAGUGUUUUGGGGUUGUGUCAUCAGUCCACCUGUUGUUGCCCCCCUCUGCUGACCAGAUCAGUAUUGCAGAAGUUUAACUGCCUCUGCACUAUGAUUCAAAAAUGCUGUUUUUUUUUGUUUUGCAGUAGUUUGCAUGAAAAGCUGAAGCACGUUUUAUUGUGUUGACUAAUUAUUAUGGAAAGUAAAACUCAGUGUUCAGGAUGUACACAUUUAUGAUGAUUCAGCUCAUAAAUCACAACACGCUGCUCUUCCCUGCAUGAUGCAGCAGCUGCUCUAUAUGUUUUAUCAGUCUGUUGCCAGCACCAUCUUCUUUGCUGUGGCGUGCUGGGUUGCAGGCAUCAAAGCAAAGGACACAAACAGACUGAACAAACUCAUCUGGAGGGCCGAGUCUGUUGUUGGCAUGAAGCUCUCCACCCUGGAGGAGGUGGUCAGUGACAGAAUGCUGGCAGGACUGCUGGUAAUCAUGGACAGGGACUCCCACCCCCUCCAUAACACACUGGACAAUCUGAAGAGCAGUUUCAGCAACAGGUUCCUUCAACCCGGCUGUCUGAGGCAACGUUACA